CCCCGAAAUAUAUUUAGGUAUAGCGUCUGAUUUUGUCUGCCCGGAGGUAGAGCACUGAUUAGGCUAGGGCCCUUCACCGGGUACCAAACCUAGACAAACUCCGAAUGCCGGUGCAGAGUCGUCAGGCAGUCAGUGGCAGGGUGAUAACGUCCUGUCGCGAGAGGGGAACAACCCAGACCACCAGCUAAGGCCCCUAAAUAGCGGCUAAGUUGAUCAAAGAAAGUUGAGUUGCUCAGACAACUAGGAGGUUGGCUUAGAAGCAGC
rnacentral:rRNA from 15 species